ACGAACGCUGGCGGCGUGCUUAACACAUGCAAGUCGAACGGAAAGGCCCUGCUUGCAGGGUACUCGAGUGGCGAACGGGUGAGUAACACGUGGGUGAUCUGCCCUGCACUUCGGGAUAAGCUUGGGAAACUGGGUCUAAUACCGGAUAGGAACCAUCUUUAGUGUGGUGGUUGGAAAGUUUUUUCGGUGUAGGAUGAGCUCGCGGCCUAUCAGCUUGUUGGUGGGGUAAUGGCCUACCAAGGCGGCGACGGGUAGCCGGCCUGAGAGGGUGUACGGCCACAUUGGGAACGAGAUACGGACCAGACUCCUACGGGAGGCAGCAGUGGGGAAUAUUGCACAAUGGGCGCAAGCCUGAUGCAGCGACGCCGCGUGGGGGAUGAAGGCCUUCGGGUUGUAAACUCCUUUCGCUAGGGACGAAGCUUUGUUGUGACGGUACCUAGAUAAGAAGCACCGGCUAACUACGUG
rnacentral:rRNA from 1 species